AAAGCUCUGAGCUAUACUGCAGUCGAGCGGGAUUGUACCAGUAAUGGUGCAUGAGAGCGGCGCACGGGUGAGUAACGCGUACACGACCUACCUCUAACAGGGGGAUAGCCCUGGGAAACUGGGAUUAAUACCGCAUAUAAUUCUGAUUAUAAAAGGUUGGAAUGAAAGUUCAGGCGGUUAGAGAUGGGUGUGCGUCUGAUUAGCUAGUUGGUAAGGUAACGGCUUACCAAGGCGAUGAUCAGUAGGGGGCGUGAGAGCGUGGACCCCCACACGGGUACUGAGACACGGACCCGACUCCUACGGGAGGCAGCAGUAAGGAAUAUUGGACAAUGGCCGCAAGGCUGAUCCAGCCAUCCAGCGUGCAGGAAGAAGGCCCUAUGGGUUGUAAACUGCUUUUGUCAGGGAAGAAACCUUGGGAUUUACUCCUAAGCUGACGGUACCUGAAGAAUAAGCACCGGCUAACUCCGUGCCAGCAGCCGCGGUAAUACGGAGGGUGCGAGCGUUAUCCGGAAUUACUGGGUUUAAAGGGUGCGUAGGCGGCGCUGUAAGUCAGGAGUGAAAGUUUGCGGCUCAACCGUAAAAUUGCUUUUGAUACUGCGGUGCUAGAAUUAGGAUGAGGUUAGCGGAAUGUGGCAUGUAGCGGUGAAAUGCAUAGAUAUGCCAUAGAACACCAAUUGCGAAGGCAGCUGGCUAGACCUAUAUUGACGCUGAGGCACGAAAGCGUGGGGAGCGAACAGGAUUAGAUACCCUGGUAGUCCACGCCCUAAACGAUGCUCACUCGACGUAUGGCCCUGGAGGUUGUGCGUCCAAGGGAAACCGUUAAGUGAGCCACCUGGGGAGUACGACCGCAAGG
rnacentral:rRNA from 1 species